CCCCAACCUGAGAGGACAUGCAGAGGUCGGUACCAUGCUCAAGACCAUGGCACCAACUCACGGCAGAACCAGGAGGAAAACAAUGGAUCUCUCAACACUCAGAGCUUUUCACUCUUCCACGUUUUAGGGAGAGCAAGGCUCCUAAUCUGUCUUGGCAUUAGGACUCCGUCUCUUGCUGGGGGACCUGUACCGAUGGACACACUCAGCCAAUGACCCUGAGACGGACGCAGCAUAAGCACGGCCCCUCGUGAGUCAAGCUUCUGGAGGCAAAAGACCUGACAUCUGCUCUGAGAGAUGUUCUGAGGCUAUCAGAAAGUGGGGAGCAAGUCAGCGUGAGAAGCAGGGUGAAUACAACUUCAUACCUUCAUGAUCCUACUAGAAACAAGUUCACCUAAAGAAUCUGAUCCUUCUGGUCUACCUGGUUCUGAUUAGAAGAGGGUUUUCUGUAAGAUGCUUUGGAGAGCCCGAGUGCUCAAGAUCAAAGGUAAUGCAGCUUCUGGCUGCCGGGAUCAGAAGGUUGGCGGAAGUAAAGAAACGAGUAAGAACAAGUAUACUACCCAGGUGAACUGUUACAUCUGCCCUGGAAGCAAUGGUUUAUGGGGUCAGGCUCCAGGAUUAACAAACAGAUUUGAAUAUCACCUCAGUCACUUACCAGCUGGCCAACGUUGGACAGUUUGCUAAGCUCCAGAUUUGAGCUUCAGGUCCACCAUCUGUAAAAUGGUGCAAUGGUAUUUCAUAGGAGUGUUUGAUGAUGAAGUUACUUGAUGUGUGUGUGGCAUAAGGCCUAAAAUUGAGGCUUAAUAUUAUGUGCUGACUUAAAUCUGUUCAAAUCAGGGAAGCCUCAAAUGGCCUAACCUCUAGUCCCUCCCCAUUCUGUUCCUGCAGAUAAGGUCCUCCUAAGAAGCAUCACUUCUUAUCAAGUGGACCAGGUGCAGUUCUUGCUUCUCCCUGAGUAGUGGGCUUCACUCAGUCCUCUGCCAGCUCACAGAAUUCUUUGAGCAAGGCAAUCACGUCCUGAUGCCUAUCCACUGAUGUCAGUGGGGUAUUCAAAUCUCCUGCUAUUAUUGGAUUGCUGUCAAUUCCUUCCUUUAGGUCUGUUAAUACUUGCUUACAUGUAAGCCUCAUGGUAACCACAAAGCCAAAAUCUAUAGUAAAUACACAAAAGAUAGAGAGAAAAGAACUUAAGUAUACCACUAAAGUAUGUCAUAAAACCACAGAGUAAGAGAGCAUGAGAAGAAAGGAACAGAAGAGGAACUAUUUAAAAAGAUCAGAAUUUUCUCUAUCGUCUUUUUAGUCUCUAUUUCAUUUUUUCCCUGCUUUUAUCUUUGUUCUUUAUUUCCUUUUACUAACCUUGAGCUUCAUUUGUUCUUUUUCUCGUUCCUUGAGGUAUAAAAUUAGGUUGCUAACUUGAGACUUUGUUUCUUGCCGUAGGCAUUUUUCGCUAUGAACUUCCCUCAGAACUGCUUUUGCUACAUCUCGAAAAUUUGGUAUGUUCUAUUUCCAUUUUCAUUUGUGUCAAGGUAUUUCUUUCUUUUU